AUUUUAUUAGUAUAAUUAGUAUAUUUGUUUUCCAAACAAAUGGUUUAGUAUCUCUAAAUAAAAUA
rnacentral:tRNA from 1 species